rnacentral:misc_RNA from 1 species
CUUUUUUCAAAUUCCAAAAUCCCCCUUCUGACAGCUGACAUUUUUCUCUUCAAUUCUCUCUUUAGGGUUUUUUGAAUCUUCAACAGCUCCUUUUUCUUCCUUCAAACUAGGGCUUUAGAUUCCAUUCUCUUUCCCUUUGGAUCCCAAUUUCUCAAUUUAGGGUUUUUCAAUGCCUGAUUGUUGAAUGAUUCAUCGACUUUCUCUUUUGAAGGUAUAGCCUGUGUCACUUCGAUAUAAAACUGGAGUUAUCAGCAUGUUUGGCUUCAACAUUAGCAGAUUUACAAUCAUAAGCUUUUUCUUCCAUUUGGCUGAAUGGCAUCCUUUGGAAUAGCAAAGAUGCAUAGGGCUUGAGCCCUCUCUAUCCCACUCUUCUAUUUCAGAAUUAGGAGUUGAUUUUCUUUCGUGGCUGAGAAUUUUGGUAACUGCUUUAAAGUUUGAGCUUUUGAUGUAUCAUAAGAACUAUUCACUUGCCAGAGUAAUGGGCUGUUGUAGCUGUUUUGGGUUCUGGAAGCCCAAACGGAGAACUAGGCCCAUUUCUGUGAGGAAUCAUAAUCUCUCCCAGGAGUUUUUGUUGGAUGAAGAAAUUGAUGAUGAUUAUGAUGGCUCAUAUAAUGGUGAGGUCACUGACACUGCCUAUGGGGAGGAUGGUGAGUUGCCAAGCCGUGUCAAACGUUCAGAAGAAAUUUUAAGAUUAAGAGAGCAGAGUGGAAUGAUUUGCAGGCAAUUUCCUGUCAAGGAAACCCAGAAACUUGUUCGCUCAGAGGAUGAGGAUGGUAAUAAGAUGGUCAAUCAAUAUGUUCGUGUGUGUAAGAUUGGUGCUGGUAGCUAUGGCAAAGUGGUUUUGUAUAGGAGCAGCACAGAUGGAAAGAAUUAUGCAAUUAAGGCUUUUCAUAAAUCUCAUUUAUUGAAACUUCGGGUUGCUCCUUCAGAGACUGCAAUGAGUGAUGUUCUCCGUGAGGUUUUAAUCAUGAAAAUGCUAGACCAUCCUAAUAUUGUCAAUCUCAUUGAGGUGAUUGAUGACCCAAACACAGAUCACUUCUACAUGGUUCUUGAAUAUGUUGAAGGAAAAUGGGUUUGGGAAGGUUCUGGUCCUCCUGGUGGAAUUGGAGAAAGUACUGCUAGAAAGUACUUGCGGGAUAUUGUAUCUGGACUAAUGUAUCUCCAUGCGCAUGUAUGAUCUUGAUACACUUCAUGCAAUAUCGUGUUUGAUUGGAUAUUUACUUGUCUGCAUGCUUACUCUUUGCAGAAGCAACCUUUUUGUGAAUUUGCAUGCUAUCAUAUGUCUGAUUGUUUGUCAUGGGGUAAACAUAUACUAAUUACUAAGAAUGAUGGCAUUGGCUUAAGAAUCUUGAAAGUAUUUAGGGAAUGGUUUUAGAAGCCUAUGCCUAUACAUAUCAUUAUGUUUUAGUUAGCCAUGUAGGCCCUUGCUGUAUUCUUCCAAGUAGCUCUCGCAUCUUCAUGUUUGAAGUUUCAAAAUAAAUAUAUGAACUUGUUGCCAUGGAAGCAUGUCUCUAGAAGGUCGUCUGAUUUUUCAAUUCUCUGAUAUUGAAUGAGCCAUAGUGUUGCUUAUCAAAGAAAGAAAAGGAAAUUAAUCUGAAGUCUUGAUUAUUAUGUGAAAAAUUGGCUUAUUCAUACUUUAUAGUGGUCCUAAAUGAUUGCUAGGGCAUUAAAACAAGUCCAUUCAAAUUUCUUAAUUUUUAUCACAAUUAAUGAUAAAGUUGGCACGUGAAGGUCAAGUCUCCUUAUAUGGACGUGAAGAGUAAAGCAUGAACUUUGGUAUUAAUUUACGAGCAAGUUAAAGAAUUUGGAUCAGGUAGUUUUAAUAAAAGUUUCUCGAGUUACAAGAUUAACAGUCAAAAUCUCUUUAUUUGAGUUUAAGAAUGGCAAUGGGGAAGGGGCAAAGGGCAGGUAUGGGGAUCCUCGUUUUAAAUUUAUAAUUUUAUAAUUAUGAAAAGUUAUAAUUUUCUACAUUUUCAAAUAAUAUAUACAUUUGUGUUAAGUUUUAAAUAUUGUUAUUUGGUGUUUAAGGAAAACUAACAGAACUGAGUAAUAAUGGUGUGUUUUUAAAGCGAAAUCGAAUUUAUAAAACGCAAAAGUUUUAAUAUAAAAGUUAUUUAUUAAGUUAUGGUAAAUCAAAGUGGGUCUCAGAGCGGGGAUGGAUUCCCUGUCGAGGUGGAUUGGUUUUUGCCAACUUUGUUUGAGGUGCUCAAAUCUACAUGUAUAUAUAUAUAUAUAUAUUCCAUUUUUUUUUUUAUAAAUUUAUAGUGUAAUAAUUUAAAAUAUUCCAACUACAAAUGCACUAGCCGCGUGGUACCUAAUAAGCCUUUACUCUUUAGUACCUAAUAGCUACAAGCUAGCAGUCAUUAGGGAGGAGCAUUCUUGCUGCUUUAAGCUGUCUGCGACAUGAGCUAUUACACCAGCACCAGCAUUGUGAAGCCAUUCAUUUUUCACAUGUAUGUUGUUAUGGGCGAAAAAAGGCCAAAAUGCUGAGUGGAAGCUGACAUCGACUUUCUUCCAUCCCAACUGCUGUAAGCCAUGUAUCAUUUCCUCUUCCACAAUUUCCUGAUACUCCACCGUGUUUUGCACACUGGGUUCAUUUUGUGCUGCCUCCUUUGCUUUAGCCGCUUCUGGAGGAAAAUGAGGGCCAUCAGAAGAGAUUGGUGGACAAUACUCAACAUCUACGACAUGCUUGUAACCAUCCAAAGAUCGCCGAGGAGGCUUGACAAGUUCCUGCUCUCUCCUUAUGGAGGAUGUACGCCAGCCAACCAUAUGAUCAUAAGAUACAUUUGCAUAGAUGGUGCGACAUCUAAAUGCACCAAGGGCAGAUAUAAAUUUUCCAUCUUCACAAUCUGAUGCCAUUCUUAAAAGAAGUGGUGGUUUGGCAGGUUUACCAUCAGUAAGAAAAAGUUGACUACCAGUUCGACCUGCUAAUAUAGGAGCCAUGGGUGGAGCAAGUUUCUCCAGAAAUGGAAUUCCCAAAAGAAAUGGAAGCUGCUUUCUUCCUCUAACUCCAAGAUGUGGAGUUGCCAGGGUAACAAAAUUGAUUGGGUCCAAUCCAGCAAUUGUACCUCUUCUUGCAGAGCAAGGAAGUGUAGAAUCAGCAAGAUCAUUGGAUUGACCAGUAUAUAAGGCAUUCUCUGAAUAAAGAACAGCAAUAGCAUAUCUUGCAAACAAGCCACCAAGAGAAUGUGCUAAAAAGGAAAUUCGUUUCAAACUACCCAUCUUCUUUACAAUUUGCACAACAUGUUUAUAAAAUUCAGAAAAAAGAAGAAUGAAGAGAGAUAUAACUGAAUAUGUCACAACCCAUUCCCAGAAAAUCCAAGAAAUAGUCAAACUCUCAUUUGUUAAAACUAAUGAUUUCAAAGAUCUCAAGAUGCAAGACCCACUUCAUCUGCCAGUCACCUUCCCACUUCAUCAAUCCCAGAAAAGGUUUUAGCAUAGGUGUUACAUGCACUUGCAUAAAUUAGGAAGUUUUUUCCAAGACGCUUUUCCAACUCUGCUUCUACAUAUGCCCAGUCACUUGGGCUGCAUUAUGCAGAAUACUGGUCAUUCAACAUUUUGAAGGGGAAAAAUUUGCAAAAACCUAUUUACUGUUGGUUGACAUCUUUUCUCAAAACGCCAAACUCGAGGGUGUGGGCAAUGGGAGUUAUUGAUACAACUGUCACAUAGGCUUUGGUUUGGACUCUGCUUGAUCCUGAAUUACAUUUAAUAUACCUAGCCAAGAUGCCAUGAACAAGAACAAGAAGAUGAUCAGGCUCAUUAUUCCCAUUCACAAUUCCCUUGCGUGAUGCAAAAUUUCCUUGAGUUGUAGUAUUCAUAGCUUGUGCUCUAAGGCCUUGAUUUUUCCAAUAGCUAUUUACACCAGAAGAGAAAUUUAGUUCCUGAGACGAACAGCAGGAACAAGAAGAAGAGGACGGUGAAUAAGAGCUGGAACCGACAGGUCCUCCAUAAGCUCCAUAAGUUACUAAAUCUUGUUGAAUACCCACAUGGAGCUUGUAUUAAAGAAGCCGUUGGCAUCUAUCGAUAUACAGCGAGUGAAAGGGAGCGAGAAGGAAACGAAAUCCCUUAAAGUCCCGGUUUUCGAUGCUAAGUCAGCUUCAUAUACCCAUAACAUUUCUUUGUAAAGACAUAUUAAACAAUACCCAGAAGUAGCCCAUUCCUUAAAAACUUUGUACCAAUGCUCAUCAUCAACAAGCCACUGAUUGCCCUAUUUUUAAGCCAACAAAAAAUGAAGCUUUGAAUUUUCAAAGAUGUUUAUAUAAUGAUAAUGAUAAAAUUCUCAGAAUGGGUUAUGAAGGACAAGUGUUGAUGAGGGUUAAGACUGAGGAUUACAGAGAGGAUGAAUACGUAGAAAAAUCUAUAAGAGAGGGAAGCUAAGAGACAAUGGCUUUAAUAGACCAUUAGCAUUUCCUCAUAUGUUUGUUGAGAAAACAUUAUACAUGAUGAGACAAGAAAUACAGCUUGUACCUAAG